rnacentral:lncRNA from 1 species
CUCUCUCUCUCUCUCUCUCUCUCUCGCCGCCCCUUCUCCGCUAAGAAUCAUCGGGAGUCGUACCCCCUCGCAGCCUCUCCAUCUCACCGUUUUUAUCCCUUGCACAUUCUUCGACAACAGAUGGCCUUAGAGGAGCCGCCGCUGCUGUUCUGCUUUCGGCCAUGUCCAACGGAGCCUUACCUUCAGUCGCGUUGCCCCGUCCUUCACCCACGCUGCCGCCUCAACGCCGCGCUGCCCCGUGUCUGCAUCGACGCUUCGCUCUGGCUCCGAUCUGAAAUCAAUUUCCAUACAGGUCUUAAUUAGCGUUGAACCCUAAUUGGCUCUAUUUUUGGUUUUGAGGAGAGAUGAGAAUGAUUGGGAUUGAGACUUUAGUUAAAUUCAAUUUGAUUUUAGUUUAAAAAAUACAAGUAAUGAAGAAAUUGAUGAAAAUCACGCAAUUUUAUACAAAUGUUCUUGAAUUCACAAUUAGAUUUAUAAAUUCACAACUUAAUGUUCUUGAAUUCACAACCAGAUUUAUGAAUUCACAAUUGAAUUAUAUGCGUUGGUUGUGAAUUCACAACCAACACUAUUUCUAGUUGUGAAUUCACGGCUAAUACUUUUUUUAGUUGUGAAUUCAAAGUUUAAAACAUGAAUUCACAACCAAUACUUGUUAUUCAGUUGUGAAUUCGAGUUUUAAAGCUCGAAUUCACAACCAAAAUAAAUCCUGGUUGUGAAUUCGCGGGUAUCUUUUAAAUUUUUAUAUGCAAGGGUAAAAUGGUAAGUGUGAGUAUUUUUUUAAAAAAUUAUCUUAGAGGGUAUUUUUUAAAUUUACUAUUCUAAAGUGGCUAUUUUCAAAACUCACUCAAACCCUAAACACUUGAUUCAUUGAGUUUAGAAUAUCAGAUAAAUGACUAUAUUCAUACAUGAUAAGUAUUAUAUUUUCUAGACGUAAUGUUUAUUUUCAUUGAAAAUAAGUAUUACUUUUCAUAUUAUUAAUUAAAAAGUACAAAAUACUAAAAAAUUUAAAAUUUAAUUUAAGUAAAAUUACAUUUUACUAUUUCUAUAAUACAAAUNCCGAGCAGUGAAACUAUCCUCGUGAAUCGAAGAACGGGAGUUAUGCAACCCCACCUCCGCGUCAUCACUAUGCCUCUCCGGCAUUGUACUAUCAUCAGCUAAAAAAUCCCCCUGAAUCACCCGAUCCUCCUCAGUCAAAGGACCAAAGGGAUUAACAUCAGUUGCCACCUUGUCAAAAGACUCUCCCUGCUAGAUUUUGUAGUCCUUUCGGGGAAGAAACCCGUAAAGUUCUUCCAGUAGGCUGCCAACUUUUCCCACGAGCCCUUGCUUUAGACCCCGCUUGCUUCUCAGUGGCAUCAUUUUUCGACUGAUUGGCAUGAUCUUUGGCUUUGCUUUUGAUACAUUUGUCCCGGCUAUGCCCCGUAAUUCUGCAUGAAGAACAAUAAAGUGGUAACUGUUCAUAGUAAAAUUCAACAAAAAUAGAAUUAUUGUCACACCCGAUGGUCAUAGAAUCUUGAAGAGGAAGAGCCAAAUCAACUUCAACGAGAAUUCUUGCAAAAUGUCCGACUUCUUUAUACACAGACGGACCAUCAAACCGAAUCGGAAGACCGAUAGCUCUGCCUAUAGCUGAGAAAACCUCAGGAUGCCAUAACUCAAUCGGCAGAUAGUAUAGCCGCACCCAAACUUGACAUAGCGAUGAAAUCUCUUUGUAGGGAUCAAAGAAACGUGUCCAUUCCCGGAGUCGAAAAGCGCCCUGCGACAAAUCCCAACCAUUGCGCUGCUUAGCUAUUGCCUUAUCCUCUGCAGAACUGAAAUUAAUAAUAUAGAAACCCUUGGCCAUAGGUGUUAGCGUCCAGCAACCUUUAAUGCUCCAAUGAUGUUGUAGUUCUUCCUUAAGACCGAAAGUAGUUCUCGGUUUGUCCCCUUUUUGAAGCAACAGUCGCCCAAUGAGAGCAUGAUCAAAAGUUUCCACUUGUUUCUUGUAGAAUUCAGCAGGGAUGUCCAAGUUGUAUUUACUGCCAAUCUUCUCCGAAUUCAAAGCCGCAAACUUGUUGGCCAAGAUAUCAGGCUUGCGGGCUGAACGAGGACGGACCAUAGCAGCGUACGACGCCUUGAUUUUGCCUUCCGAAGCCGCUACCUCAGGGAGUCCCGUAGGCAGCUGCUCAGCUGCGAGAACUUGUUGGUCAGUAGCAGAAUUUCCCGCAUUGAGAAGAGCACGUGCAGUAGGUAAAGAAUUAACAUCAACGUGAUUUUGAUUCUCAGCGGUAGAAAUUAAAAACUGUGUUUCUGCAGCCUCCUGCUGCUUAGUGUUCGUUGGAGGAGACCUAAAGUUAUUUGAAAUAGGAGGGAGAUUGAGUGCCGACCGGUCGGCAGAACCUGCCAUCGCCGGCACUAAUUGGCGAUCUCAACUUCCAGAGCAGCAGCAACAGCGGCGAAGUCCAACGAUCCAGACUGUGGCAGCUGUAAACUCGUCGGCUUCGUCUGAACGAAGCAGGAGUCCUACGAUCCAGAUCUUUGGAUCCACGCAGACGCCGAUCUAGCGCAGCAAGCAGCCCUCCCCACCGUCGGAGCGAGGCAGCGGCCGGCGAGAUCCAGUGACGUCGGAGCGAAGACAGCAACGACAGCGUCAAGCAGUGGCUUCCUUGAGGCGGCGUCCGGUGAGUGUUUGAGACUUGAGAGUGAAUAUUCGACGGGUGAAGAAGCCGCAGACCGGAGGCUGGAGGUGGUGCCGGGUCGGUGGCGACCGGCGGCAGGUGCAGAGGGGAACGGCGCACAAAACGCUGACCCUAAAAUCUCAUUUUUCGGAGAGGGAGAACGCUCCUGUACUGUUCAUAUAAGAGAGAGAAUUUUCCCCUUAGACACUAAACCUUAAACACUUGAUUGAUUGAGUUUAGAAUAUCAAAUAAAUGACUAUAUACAUUAUAAGUAUUACAUUUUCUAGACGUAAUGUUUACUUUCAUUGAAAAUAUGUAUUACUUUUCAUAUUAUUAAUUAAAGAGUGCAAAAUACUAAGAAAUUGUAAAUUUAAUUUAAGAAAACAAAAUUUUACAUUUCAUGAUACAAAUAUUUACUUUCAAUCAAUAUAAGAUAUAUACAUUUGUUAAUUAGCACAAAGUACAUUCAUAUUAGUAUAAGGAUUUAAUUUAAUUUAAUAUAAAGUAUUAUAUUUUCUAAACCCUAAACACUAAAUUAUAAACCCUAAAUAUUAAACACUAAACCCGAAGUACUUGAUUGAUUGAAUUUAGAAAUUCAGAUAAUUAUUACUUUUGAUUACACUAAUAAUUAUUUUAUCAAAUAACUAAAAGUACAAAUUCUCAUAAAUAAAAGUAGCAGUUAUCGCGAACCAAUGUAAUAAUUUAGAAACAUUACAUUAUUGCGUCAUAUCAAUAGUUACUUUUCCUUACGUCAUAAUGAGUUUUAAAGAAUAAAAAUAUCAUUACGUCAUAUCAAUACUUGAUUACAUUACAAGGUCUAACGAGUAAAAAUAUCACGUAACUAGGAUCAACCGUUGUUGAUACGUUGAAUGACUGCACGACAAAAAUUCAGAAAUCCACCAUUUAUCUCCAUCGUUAAUUAGUAGCACAAUCAUAAUACUCUCUUAAUGCCAAGUAAACCAACACUUCCAACAAUAACAACUCGGGUCCCAAACAAUUUCUAAUGCACCAAAUUAGCAUAAUUUUGCCUCAUAACAUAUGGAGUAGCUCUUCCCACUCCAAAAGGCAAAAACAAAUGUUCUCUGUGCACCAAUUUAUUGAACACUUAGGAUGCAUGAUAGUAAAGCAUACUAAACUUGAUGUAGAGAGAUGGAGAAACAAGCGGAAAUAGACAUAUCGUCGCCACCGACUAGAGUGAGAGUCCAGCGACGAGCGGCGGGAGGCGAGGGCGGCGCGAGAGUUGGAGAAGCGGCGGAGGGAGAAGGAGAGCAAACCCUAACGAAGAGAGAGCGGCGGAAGAGAGGAGACGAAGGAGAGCGAACCCAAAAUGAGGAAAAAAAUGGAAUAAAAAUCUUUUAUAUUUUAUGUAAUUGGAUCGGGCCGGGCGGACGUCCG